UACGGAGGGUGCAAGCGUUAUCCGGAUUCACUGGGUUUAAAGGGUGCGUAGGUGGGUUGGUAAGUCAGUGGUGAAAUCUCCAGGCUUAACUUGGAAACUGCCAUUGAUACUAUCAAUCUUGAAUACCGUGGAGGUCAGCGGAAUAUGUCAUGUAGCGGUGAAAUGCUUAGAUAUGACAUAGAACACCAAUUGCGAAGGCAGCUGGCUACACGAAUAUUGACACUGAUGCACGAAAGCGCGGGGAUCAAACAGG
rnacentral:rRNA from 1 species